rnacentral:rRNA from 1 species
ACGGGAGGCAGCAGUGGGGAAUAUUGCACAAUGGGGGAAACCCUGAUGCAGCGACGCCGCGUGAGUGAAGAAGUAUUUCGGUAUGUAAAGCUCUAUCAGCAGGGAAGAAAAUGACGGUACCUGACUAAGAAGCCCCGGCUAACUACGUGCCAGCAGCCGCGGUAAUACGUAGGGGGCAAGCGUUAUCCGGAUUUACUGGGUGUAAAGGGUGCGCAGGCGGCCUGCUAAGUCUCCGGUGAAAUGUCAGGGCUCAACCUUGGCACUGCCGGAGAUACUGGCGGGCUUGAGAGUGGCGGACGUCGCCGGAAUGUGUGGUGUAGCGGUGAAAUGCAUAGAUAUCACACAGAACACCGAUUGCGAAGGCAGGAGACCAUACCAUAUCUGACGCUCAGGCACGAAAGCGUGGGGAUCGAACAGGAUUAGAUACCCUAGUA